UCCGGCUUAACUCAAUUGGCAGAGUGCUUCGCUGUUAACGAAGAAGUUUCAGGUUCGAUCCCUGAAGCCGGAG
rnacentral:tRNA from 1 species